UGGAACUUAUGCGAACGGGC
rnacentral:miRNA from 1 species